rnacentral:rRNA from 1 species
GACGAACGCUGGCGGCGUGCCUAAUACAUGCAAGUAGAACGCUGAAGCCUGGUGCUUGCACCGAGCGGAUGAGUUGCGAACGGGUGAGUAACGCGUAGGUAACCUGCCUGGUAGCGGGGGAUAACUAUUGGAAACGAUAGCUAAUACCGCAUAAGAGUAGAUGUUGCAUGACAUUUGCUUAAAAGGUGCAAUUGCAUCACUACCAGAUGGACCUGCGUUGUAUUAGCUAGUUGGUGAGGUAACGGCUCACCAAGGCAACGAUACAUAGCCGACCUGAGAGGGUGAUCGGCCACACUGGGACUGAGACACGGCCCAGACUCCUACGGGAGGCAGCAGUAGGGAAUCUUCGGCAAUGGACGGAAGUCUGACCGAGCAACGCCGCGUGAGUGAAGAAGGUUUUCGGAUCGUAAAGCUCUGUUGUAAGAGAAGAACGAGUGUGAGAGUGGAAAGUUCACACUGUGACGGUAUCUUACCAGAAAGGGACGGCUAACUACGUG